rnacentral:rRNA from 1 species
AUAACAGGUCUGUGAUGCCCUUAGAUGUCCUGAACCGCACGCGUGUUACACUGAUGCAUUCAACGAGCUUAUAACCUUGGCCGAGAGGCCUAGGCAAUCUUGUUAACGUGCGUCGUGAUAGGGAUAGAUUAUUGCAAUUAUUAAUCUUGAACGAGGAAUUCCUAGUAAACGCAGAUCAUCAAUCUGCAUUGAUUACGUCCCUGCCCUUUGUACACACCGCCCGUCGCA